AGUGAACGCUGGCGGUAGGCCUAACACAUGCAAGUCGAACGGCAGCACAGUAAGAGCUUGCUCUUACGGGUGGCGAGUGGCGGACGGGUGAGGAAUACAUCGGAAUCUACUUUUUCGUGGGGGAUAACGUAGGGAAACUUACGCUAAUACCGCAUACGACCUACGGGUGAAAGCAGGGGAUCUUCGGACCUUGCGCGAUUGAAUGAGCCGAUGUCGGAUUAGCUAGUUGGCGGGGUAAAGGCCCACCAAGGCGACGAUCCGUAGCUGGUCUGAGAGGAUGAUCAGCCCAACUGGAACUGAGACACGGUCCAGACUCCUACGGGAGGCAGCAGUGGGGAAUAUUGGACAAUGGGCGCAAGCCUGAUCCAGCCAUACCGCGUGGGUGAAGAAGGCCUUCGGGUUGUAAAGCCCUUUUGUUGGGAAAGGAAAGCAGCAGGUUAAUACCCCGCUGUUCUGACGGUACCCAAAGAAUAAGCACCGGCUAACUUCGUG
rnacentral:rRNA from 1 species